AUGCUUCCCCUCAGCCUGUUUCCUUUUAUGCUUACUCUGUGCCCGCCAGGCACUCGGCCAUGGAUGGCUGCCACCUGACCCCAGCUGUACUGCUUUCAUUAAUCCAAGGUGAGAGGCGCACACGGGGCGCUCUCUGAACCCUCCAGGUGAUUUUAAUGUGCAGCCAGGUUAGAAAACCUCUGCUUGGUCUUUGUGGCCUUCACGUCGUUGCUUAAGCUUUUGCAUCCUCCCAACUCCUGACCUUUACACGGGCUGCCCCUUGCACAGGAUCCUACCUACUUCUUCUGGCUGCCCGUUCACACUUCUAAGAGGAGGCUAUCAGGCUUUCAGAUGUUGCGAGGUAGGGAAGGCCGGUAAAUCAUCAUUUUGUGAGAAUAUGAGAGGAGGGAUGUUACCUGGAACAUGGGGAGAAGGGCCUUCCUUCGUGGAAAAUGGGCUUUGUCUUGCAAUUCUGGCCGGCUGUGGCUCCAGAUCACAGAAGGCUUUGUCUUCUCUAAGACAAAGGAAGAGCAGAAAUGAGAGACUGUGACAGACUUAGAAUCCAUUCCACCUGUGAACUUACGUGUCCUCUACAAAUUCUUUGCACAGCUUCCUUGCAACCUUCUCUCACCUCUGCACAUUACAGAAAUGGGUGUGAUCAUAGUACCUAUCUGUCUCAGAGGUCGGUGUGAGAUUUAACUGAGUGACUGCUUCUGAAGUCCGUACCCAGAUCUUAGGAAGAAGGAAGUGGACCUUCUCGUGGUAAAAGGAAGCAUUCAUCACAUAAGAGUGUUGAAAUCAGCACGUUAAUAUUUGGUUUAGAAGAUUAUGUAUAAGACAGUUCCAAAGUUAUCCUUUUUUCAUAAUGUCCUUGUCACUUUUUGGAAUAUGCAAGAAGCUACUUUAAAAAACUGAAAGAACAGAAGAUUUUAUGUUUAGAAGAACUUUCCAAGAUAGGAAGCAUCACAGGGGAUCGACCUCAGGACCUUGAGCUUCUGAGGCAGGCGACGGCACCACUGAGCUAAAUCCCUGGCCCAAUUUACCCAUUUUUAAGUGUCUGGGUCAAUGGCAUUUAGUACAUUCACAUUGUCCUGCGACCAUCAGCAUGUUUCAUCUCCAGAACACGGUCAUGUUCUCAAGCCAAAAGUCUGUAUCCAGCAAACCCUAACUCCCCAACCCCCGGCUCCUGGCAGCCACUGCCCUCUUUUCUAUCUCUGUGGAUUUGUCUGUUCUUAGGAUCUUCUAUGAGUAGUCUUCUACAAUUGUGUAUUUGUUGUUUCAUGACUGGCGUAUUUCACUUAGCAUAACGUUUUAAAAGUCCAUCUAUUUGGUAACGUGUCAGAACCCCUUUCCUAUUUUACACUAACUAAUAUCCUACGGUAUGUAUCUACCGCAUUCUGCCUGUCCAAUCAUUCUCUGACAAAUAUUUCGUUGUUUCCACGUUUCGGCUAUUACAAACAUAGAUAUACAGCUACCUCUUCUGAGUCUCUGCUGUCAUUUUUUUGGGUAUAUAUAAAUGUUGAUUCUUGUCAUUUUUAGUCUAGUUAACUAUAACAUUUAAUUGAGCACUUCUGUAUGUGUGGCAUGUCAAUUCAUGUGAAAAGUAUCAGUGAAAAAUAGGAGAGUCUGGCUUUGUAGAGAGCUCACAAAUUUGAUAAAGGAGAAUUAUCCAAAAUAAUAAUAUUUUGUGUUAUCAUUUUACUAUAUAUCCCAUAGUUUUCAUUAAAGAAUUUUAAGCAUAUUAUCUAGGAAGUAGACCCAAUGAUAGUGUUCAUUCUGAACUCUCAUUUUUCUAAUGUAACUAAAAAUUAAAAGCAGGAAGAUACUGAUACUGAAGAGUUAUU
ensembl:lncRNA